rnacentral:rRNA from 1 species
AUUGAACGCUGGCGGCAUGCCUUACACAUGCAAGUCGAACGGUAACAGGUCUUCGGAUGCUGACGAGUGGCGAACGGGUGAGUAAUACAUCGGAACGUGCCCGAUCGUGGGGGAUAACGGAGCGAAAGCUUUGCUAAUACCGCAUACGAUCUACGGAUGAGAGCAGGGGACCGCAAGGCCUUGCGCGGACGGAGCGGCCGAUGGCAGAUUAGGUAGUUGGUGGGAUAAAAGCUUACCAAGCCGACGAUCUGUAGCUGGUCUGAGAGGACGACCAGCCAAACUGGGACUGAGCCACGGCCCAGACUCCGACGGGAGGCAGCAGUGGGGAAUUUUGGAUAAUGGGCGAAAGCCUGAUCCAGCCAUGCCGCGUGCAGGAUGAAGGCCUUCGGGUUGUAAACUGCUUUUGUACGGAACGAAAAGCCUCUUUCUAAUAAAGAGAGGUCAUGACGGUACCGUAAGAAUAAGCACCGGCUAACUACGUGCCAGCCGCCGCUGUAAUAC